GUGCUCACUAAAGCAGCAUGUAUACUAAAAAUUGGAAGAAUUCAGUGAAGAUUAGUCUGGGCCCAUACAAGAAUGGCCUGCAAAUCUGUGAAGUGGUUCCAUGUGUUU
ensembl:snRNA predicted gene, 26149